UACGUAGGGUGCAAGCGUUAUCCGGAAUUAUUGGGCGUAAAGAGCUCGUAGGCGGUUUGUCGCGUCUGCUGUGAAAACUGGAGGCUCAACCUCCAGCCUGCAGUGGGUACGGGCAGACUAGAGUGCGGUAGGGGAGAUUGGAAUUCCUGGUGUAGCGGUGGAAUGCGCAGAUAUCAGGAGGAACACCGAUGGCGAAGGCAGAUCUCUGGGCCGUAACUGACGCUGAGGAGCGAAGGCAUGGGGAGCGAACAGG
rnacentral:rRNA from 1 species